UACAGAGGGUGCGAGCGUUAAUCGGAUUUACUGGACGUAAAGGGCGCGUAGGCGGUUAGUUAAGAUAGCUGUGAAAUCCCUGGGCUUAACCUAGGAACUGCAGCUGUGACUGGCUAGCUAGAGUACUGUAGAGGGUAGUGGAAUUUCCGGUGUAGCGGUGAAAUGCGUAGAGAUCGGAAGGAACACCAGUGGCGAAGGCGGCUUCCUGGACCAGCACCGACGUUCAGGCACGAAAGCGUGGGGAGCAAACAGG
rnacentral:rRNA from 1 species